rnacentral:rRNA from 1 species
AUUGAACGCUGGCGGCAGGCCUAACACAUGCAAGUCGAGCGGAUGAAGGGAGCUUGCUCCUGGAUUCAGCGGCGGACGGGUGAGUAAUGCCUAGGAAUCUGCCUGGUAGUGGGGGAUAACGUCCGGAAACGGGCGCUAAUACCGCAUACGUCCUGAGGGAGAAAGUGGGGGAUCUUCGGACCUCACGCUAUCAGAUGAGCCUAGGUCGGAUUAGCUAGUUGGUGGUGUAAAGGCCUACCAAGGCGACGAUCCGUAACUGGUCUGAGAGGAUGAUCAGUCACACUGGAACUGAGACACGGUCCAGACUCCUACGGGAGGCAGCAGUGGGGAAUAUUGGACAAUGGGCGAAAGCCUGAUCCAGCCAUGCCGCGUGUGUGAAGAAGGUCUUCGGAUUGUAAAGCACUUUAAGUUGGGAGGAAGGGCAGUAAGUUAAUACCUUGCCGUUUUGACGUUACCAACAGAAUAAGCACCGGCUAACUUCGUG